UGGCGGGGGGCGCACCCCUCCGGGGACUGCGGGGCACGUCCAGCCCGGAGUUCCCCGGCGCCCGCGGCUCGCCCUGCCGCCGGACUCACCUGUCUGUAACCUGACCCGCCGCGCGCCCAGCCCACAGGGCCGAGGAUCAACACAGCGGUUCGCCCGGUCCUCUUCCGCGCUGGAAUGGCCCUUGGGGACACAGCAGCCUGGUAACGGAUUUCUCGGCUCAGCUCAGUCCUCUCCCCGCGCGCGGAGAGGGGGCGCAGCUCUCCUGGGUCUGAGAAGGGAAGAGAAGCGCCCUGCCGCGGGGUCCGCCCUCAAGGGGUCACCCUCUCCUGGCUCAAGCCUGUCUGGACUCCAGAUUUUCUGAGAACAAUCAACGAAGAAGAAAACAGACUUUGAUCCGGUGAAGGAAGACAUUUCUCUAGCGGCACGAGGAAGCGAGGCUUCUUUCUAGUCUAUGAGGCUGAUGGCGCAGCUUAUGGGAGAAUCAGAACGUAUUUUUAUCUACCAACAAACUGAAGAAUUUCUAGAAAUUGGUUGAGUGAAAGUAAAAUAGAGAAAACUACGAAAUCACAGAAGAGGCAGCACCCCAGGACAAGACCAAGCUACCUACUCUCAACACUCCACUUCGCAUGAGACCGACCGAGUUUUUUAUGGAUAGAGGAAGACAGAAAAAGAAAUAAAAAUAUAAAGAUCA